CAGAAAGGAAGGGCAAAUCAGUUCCACUGCUGGCCACCAUCAGACGCAGGCGUCGUUCUUCAGAAGAGCCUGACGUCACUUCCUCCAACACGCCGUCUCCUUCCGAAGCAGCAGCCACGCAUUUGAUCAGCAGCUACUUCGCCGCCGUCAGGACAUUGGACUCCCGGAAGUGCAUCUUCAAGAUGAUCUGCUUCGUUGGCGCCAACGACAAGGCCUUCGGUCGCUACGGGGCCAGUCUUUCGUCCUUCUUUGGAGGGUUGAGCACCAUGUUGAGGAUCGACGAAAUCACAUCCGGCUACAGUCGAGCUUUCGAGGUUGGUCGAACCCACGGGACUGAAGGUUGCACCAUCAAGUACAACACCUGCCCCAUGAGGAUAAUCAACUUGAUCACCUUGGCUACCAACUUCGGAUAAGCCUAGCCCCCGUGCGAAGAGUGUCCUAGUGCAUGUAUAUAUAGAUAUACUAUAUCGAUGCUAUCGAUAUGAUACAGAUGCAUUGAUAUAGUAGGAGAGUAAGCAUGUGUCAUGCGAUAGCAUUUUUUAAAAGAAAAAUAGGGUGGUGAUAAAAAAAUUCUAGGUGGUGUUAUUUAUUGCCGGUGCACGGACGGCGCUAGUUGCUGCAAUGCUUAAGAAUAAGGAGAGUACAUGUAGAUAAGAUAGUGUGCAAUUGUAAUAAAUAGUUGUUUU